AUACGUAGGGGGCGAGCGUUGUCCGGAAUGAUUGGGCGUAAAGGGCGCGUAGGCGGCCCGGUAAGUCUGGAGUGAAAGUCCUGUUUUUAAGAUGGGAAUUGCUUUGGAUACUGUCGGGCUUGAGUGCAGGAGAGGUAAGUGGAAUUCCCAGUGUAGCGGUGAAAUGCGUAGAGAUUGGGAGGAACACCAGUGGCGAAGACGACUUACUGGACUGAAACUGACGCUGAGGCUCGAUAGUGUGAGGAGAAAACAGGAUUUGAUACACGGGUAGUCCACACUGUAAACGAUGAAUGCUAGGUGUAGGGGGUAUCGACCACUUCUGUGCCGCAGGCAACACAAAAAGCAUUCCGCCUGGGGAGUACGGCCGCAAGGUUGAAACUCGAAGGAAGUGACGGGG
rnacentral:rRNA from 1 species